AGGGAAUCUUCCACAAUGGGCGCAAGUCUGAUGGAGCAACGCCGCGUGAGUGAAGAAGGUCUUCGGAUCGUAAAGCUCUGUUGUUGGUGAAGAAGGAUAGAGGCAGUAACUGGUCUUUAUUUGACGGUAAUCAACCAGAAAGUCACGGCUAACUACGUGCCAGCAGCCGCGGUAAUACGUAGGUGGCAAGCGUUGUCCGGAUUUAUUGGGCGUAAAGCGAGCGCAGGCGGAGUGAUAAGUCUGAUGUGAAAGCCCACGGCUCAACCGUGGAACUGCAUCGGAAACUGUCAUUCUUGAGUGCAGAAGAGGAGAGUGGAACUCCAUGUGUAGCGGUGGAAUGCGUAGAUAUAUGGAAGAACAG
rnacentral:rRNA from 1 species